rnacentral:tRNA from 1 species
CGUAGCUCAGCUGGAUAGAGCACCCGCCUUCUAAGCGGGUGGUCAAGGGUUCGAAUCCCCUC